rnacentral:rRNA from 1 species
UGAGUACGAGAUGCUACGGCGUCGAAGCAGUGUAUGUCAGACUUCCAAGAAAAGCUCGCAAUGUCAUAAAUAAAUAAUGCCUGUACCAUAACCGACACAGGUGGGUAGGUAGGGUAUACUAAGGGGCGCGAGAUAACUCUCUCUAAGGAACUCGGCAAAAUAACUCCGUAACUUCGGGAGAAGGAGUGCCUUAUUUCAUAAGGUUGCAAUAACAAGAUCCAAGCAACUGUUUAUCAAAAACACAGGUCUCCGCUAAGUCGUAAGACGAUGUAUGGGGGCUGACGCCUGCCCAGUGCCAGAAGGUUAAAGAAGUCGGUUAGCUAUGCGAAGCUGAUAACUGAAGCCCUGGUGAACGGCGGCCGUAACAAUAACGGUCCUAAGGUAGCGAAAUUCCUUGUCGGGUAAGUUCCGACCCGCACGAAAGGCGUAAUGAUUUGGAUACUGUCUCGGAGAGGGACUCGGUGAAAUAGACUUGUCUGUGAAGAUGCGGACUACCUGCACCAGGACAGAAAGACCCUAUGAAGCUUUACUGUAACUUGAAAUUGAAAUUGGACUUUAUUUGCGCAGUAUAGGUGGGAGGCGUUGAAAAUAGUCUUGCGGGAUUAUUGGAGCCAUCAGUGAGAUACCACUCCUAUAAUGUUAGAUUUCUAACUUUGUAUCAUAAUCUGGUCAAAGAACAGUUUCAGGCGGGCAGUUUGACUGGGGCGGUCGCCUCCCAAAUGGUAACGGAGGCGUACAAAGGUUUCCUCUGAACGGGUGAAAAUCGUAUCUAGAGUGUAAAGGCAUAAGGAAGCUUGACUGUGAGACCUACAAGUCGAGCAGGGACGAAAGUCGGUCUUAGUGAUCUGACGGUGCUGAGUGGAAAGGCCGUCACUCAACGGAUCAAAGUUACUCUAAGGAUAACAGGCUGAUCUCCCCCAAGAGUUCACAUCGACGGGGAGGUUUGGCACCUCGAUGUCGGCUCAUCGCAUCCUGGGGCGGUAGUACGUCCCAAGGGUUGGGCUGUUCGCCCAUGAAAGCGGUACGCGAGCUGGGUUCAGAACGUCGUGAGACAGUUCGGUCCAUAUCCGGUGUAGGCGUUAGAAUAUUGAGAGGAGCCUUCUUUAGUACGAGAGGACCGAGAAGGACAUACCUCUGGUGUACCAGUUAUCGUGCCAACGGUAAACGCUGGGUAGCUAUGUGUGGAGAGGAUAACCGCUGAAAGCAUCUAAGUGGGAAGCCCACCUCAAGAUGAGUAUUCUC